rnacentral:misc_RNA from 1 species
GUACUCUCACACUCUCUGAUCCUUGGAUUUGGGGAGCGGUGGACUUGGGUGCUUGCUGCUUUCAUUGUGGCUCACCUCAAAUGUGUUAGUGCACCUCUUGGUUGGACAUAGUACGGCGUGAUAAGUGUCUUCGCCGGCGCCUCGAAAGAGGGUGGCCGAUUGGGAGCUCUGGGCUUCUAACUGUCUUAGGACACUCUCUGACA